UCCCUCGUGGCGCAAUUGGCUGUUCGUAACUCCACAUCGUCUGUUUCGCCAACAUUAACUAACAGUUUGCAGAGCGCGUUUGACUGUUAGAGCUCAGGCUAGAGCAAUCAGGAGGUUGGUGGUUCAAGCCCACCCGAGGGAG